GUUAGCCCUUUGUCUCUCACACAAAGUUGGAGUUCUGAUCAUAACACACUAAAACUCCUCAAAUUGCCAACCCAAAAAUUGAAUUACAUUAAUCACAUCUUCUCUUUGUUGCUUUUAUACAAAAGGGUUGUCUCCUUUAUGCAAUUGGAAAUGAAAAUUACGGCCAUGGGGAGGGGGAAGUGGGAGAAAAACAUUCAUGUUUUAGCUGAGAAAACCAAAACGUUUCCUAGUUUUGUUUGGCAAACAACUUGGAGAGUUGGCCGAGACGAUCCUCGAAGAGUUAUUCAUGCU
rnacentral:misc_RNA from 1 species